CUACGGGAGGCUGCAGUUAGGAAUAAUCUACAAUGCACGCAAGUGUGAUAGUUUGAGCCAGAGUGCGAUUCAAUGAAUCGCUUUUGCUAAAUUUAAAAAGUUUGGCGAAUAAGGACUGGGUAAGACGAGUGCCAGCCGCAGGGUAAUACUCGCGGUCCAAGUCGCAGCCAUUUUUAUUGGGUCUAAAACAUCCGUAGCUUGCUUGAUAAGUUUCUUGUGAAAUCCGGCUUCUUAAGAGUUGGGCGCGCAAGAAAUACUGUUAAGCUAGAGACCGGAAGACGUAAGAAGUACGUUCGAAGUAUCGGUAAAAUGAGUUAAUCUCGGACGGACUAACAAUAGCGAAGGCAUCUUACGAGGACGGUUCUGACAGUAAGGGAUGAAGGCUAGGGGCGCAAAACGGAUUAGAUACCCGCGUAGUC
rnacentral:rRNA from 1 species